rnacentral:pre_miRNA from 1 species
AAUUACCCAAUUUUUCAGUUUCUAGAUACAAUGUUUGACUCUUCGUCUUAUUUAAACUUUUUUAUGAUUAAUAAUUUUAUUUUUAUUAGAUGAUAAAACAUGAAUAGCACUUUAUGUGUGACUAUUUUUUUUAAAUUUAUUUAUAAAUUUUUUAAAUAAGAUAGAUGGUCAAAUGCUGGACACAAAAACC